CCCCUCGGGACGCGGGGCGGCCGCGGGCGCCGCCAUGGAAGCGGCCGAGGUGGAGUUCCUGGCCGAGAAGGAGCCGGUCACCAUCAUCCCGAACUUCAGCCUGGACAAGAUCUACCUCAUCGGGGGGGACCUGGGCCCGUUCAACCCGGGGCUGCCGGUGGAGGUGCCGCUGUGGCUGGCGAUCAACCUGAAACAGCGGCAGAAGUGUCGGCUGCUGCCCCCCGAGUGGAUGGACGUAGAGAAGUUGGAGAAGAUGAGGGAUCAUGAACGCAAUGAAGAAACUUUUACCCCUAUGCCUAGCCCAUACUACAUGGAACUUACCAAACUCUUGCUAAAUCAUGCUUCAGACAACAUCCCGAAAGCAGAUGAGAUCCGGACUCUGAUCAAGGACAUGUGGGAUACGCGCAUUGCCAAGCUGCGCGUGUCUGCUGACAGUUUCGUGAGGCAGCAGGAGGCGCAUGCCAAGCUGGACAACCUGACCCUGAUGGAGAUCAACACCAGCGGAGCUUUCCUCACACAAGCGCUCAACCACAUGUACAAGCUCCGCACCAGCCUGCAGCCUUCCGAGCACAGCCAGUCCCAGGACUUCUAGAGGAAGGCCCUAGUCUUGGCAGGCUGGCUUUGGCGGGAGGUGUGCACCAGUGUACCACGGAGGGCCUCGCCCUGCUGGAGUUCUGGAACCAACUUCCAAUGUGUGAAAAACGGAUGGAGCAAGGAAGGCCUUUGUGACCUUGGAAAGCAGCCUUUUUUGUGCUCAUUUGUCAGGACGCUCGUUAGUUCCACAUCUGUCUCUAGAAAGCAGCUGUUCUUUUUGGGGGGGAUGAAAAAAGCUUUUGCCAAACAAUAUUCUCCCUAGUAGAGCCCCAGGUCUCAAGAGCAGCCUUGUGGACGAGUGCUGCUUUUGAAAGAUGCACAGAAGUGGCCGAGAGCUUUUUCUGCCUUCCUGAGCCCUAUCUGGGCUAAGUCUAGAAUGUUCUACAGUUACUUGUAGAGAGCAGGACGGCUGGUGAGUGGCCAGUGCAGUGUCUCUCAGUCUAAGCCCUGUGCACAAUAAAGAUGGAAUAAACUGCAUCUCUUGGGUUUUCUCCCGUGUCACUACCAAGUGGAAGGGGCAAGCCCCGGGACCAGGGUGGCUUCAGGCGACGCCGAGAGCGGGCACAGGCGGGCGUCUGUCUCACGCCAGCUCUCUGGGGCACGUGUUCUCUUGGCCACUUCUGGCGCAGGCCGACAGGGUACUCCGCAGUGUUACAGGUCGGGACACCACCCUAGGAAGGAAAGUCUGGAUGGAUUUAGGGGAGAAAUUCUUUCUUACAGUUAUGUCCAAAAGGGCAGGUUUAUUAUAUAAAGAAAGGAAAGGAAAACGCCUGCACAGACGUGGCGGGCAGGCAUUGCUGCCCUUGAAGAGACACCCGCGCAGUCACAGGUGGGCAGGCUUGGACGCAGCGCUGCCGGGUGCCACAUUCCUGUGGGGACGCCACCCUGAGAGGAGAAACAACUGGCAGUGGGGUGAGGGGCCGAAAACCGGGGGAAGAAGGAAGAAACCGCUUCUACGAGGAAGAGGAGGAGGGCGUCCUACGGCGGCUGCUUGCCGAGUCACGAGGGAGUCAGCGGCGCUGGAGCCAAGAAGCCACCGGGCCUGCUGUCCCCAGAAGUGACCCCCGCUCACGAGGAUGCACCUCUGGCUUCAACCUGACCACAAAGCCAGGUCGGUCCUGAGCACACAGCACAGUCAGAGGCCGACACUACUGAGCAGACGUCGGGACACUGCUGUGCGGGAAACGCUCAUCUCAAUGGGCGGAGAACACGGUCACUGUCUGCAGGGCCACGCCAGGAAGCCCCGAGCUACUGGGAACCUUGGCUUCGUUGCGUGGGCUCAGGUGCCGUUGGCAGCACUGGCUGGCCUGGCAGUACGGGGGUGGGGGAGGCCGAAACCCACAAGGAAAGGACUAAAGUGUUUGCAGAAGGCCUGAUUAGGGAGGAAGGGGCGGCGAGAAAUCCAGACUAACAGUUAGCAAACACACACACCUCAACCCAAAUUCCAAGCACCAAAGAACUGGAUUUAAGCCGCGUUCCUAUGUGGGGUGACCUCACUGCCAAACAUUACCAAAGAUGUUGCUUCUUCCCAAACCUAUAAACUUGUCACAGACUGGCUUGAACUAAUGAGAAGCUGAACUUCACAGGGGAAGCCAAGGAACGAGGCCAGCAGAGCCCCCGCCUCUCUGGAAAGGGGAGAGGAAUAGUACAGGCAGAGGCCUUCCCGAGACAGACUGACCUUGUGAAGAUGCCACAUGGCCCAUGGUGAGCCCCUAAGAUGCCAGGUUAGUUCACAGAAGGGACUUUAAGAAAAGAAAUGGGGUGUAGGCCAGGGGUGUGGGGUGAGAGGAUUCACCCGAGACAGAGUGGGGAGCAGAACAGGUGGAUCCACUGAAAUCAAAUGCUGAGGGGAGCAGCAGGGAGACAGGAGAGGUCUGCUGCACACUUUGGGUAGCUCUCUGGCUGGUUGGGGACUGACCUUGUGCCGCAGAUAGCUUCAUAGUGCUGUGCUUAACCCCUUGCAGCACCAGGGAAGCCCAGAAGUGGCUUCUAAGGCAGAGCAGAGCCUGAAGUGUUUAGCAGGAAAUGCCCCACGACAUGAUCAUCCACCCCUUGGAGCAUGAGAACCCCCCCGCCCCCCGCAAGACACUAGACCUUUCAGGGACCUGUGUGUGUACCACAGGGACAUCCUGAAGCAGGGAAGGAUGCAUAUCUAGGCAGCCACGAGGCCUCUCACUAGUUUCCCCCUCUGGUUUUACAGCACUUACUUCAAAACCUUGUUUGAAGUUACAACGUUGCUAAUAAAACUGUACGUGUAAUGAGUGAGUCUGGAGGUGGCGCCAGGGUCUGGC